rnacentral:tRNA from 1 species
GGGGAUGUAGCUCAGUGGUAGAGCACUUGCCUAAUGUGUGAAGUCCUGGGUUUAAUCCCCAGGAUCCACC